UACGAAGGGGGGCUAGCGUUGCUCGGAAUCACUGGGCGUAAAGCGCACGUAGGCGGCUUUCUAAGUCAGGGGGUGAAAUCCCGGAGCUCAACUCCGGAACUGCCUUUGAUACUGGGGAUCUUGAGUCCGGAAGAGGUGAGUGGAACUCCGAGUGUAGAGGUGAAAUUCGUAGAUAUUGGGAAGAACACCGAUGGCGAAGGCAGCCAUCUGGACCGACACUGACGCUGAGGCGCGAAAGCGUGGGGAGCAAACAGG
rnacentral:rRNA from 1 species